CAGCAACUGCACAAGUAGGUCGGGUCUCUCGGAUUGGUGCCCCGUGGAAUUCAGAUUGUAGGUCUUCAGUAUAAACGGACAAAGGAAGAAAUGUUCUUCAAGUCUCAAGCAUUGUUGGGUUCUGACGGUGAGAAUAUCUUUUACAGUGAGCUUUUGGCUAUCCUGGGUGGUGGAAUGGCGCUAGAGGGUUCUCAGUUUAAUGCCAAGUAUUUUGACAGCAAGAUGGUAUAGCUGCAGUAAGUUACCUCUCUGCCGCUUUUUUUAUAUAUUAAACUUUGGAGGUCAUAAGAAGCUUUCUUUCUUGUUCGAUGACACCAUGUACUUUGUGUAAUGGUUGCAAUAUUCA